GAGGGUAUAUCUCAGUGGUAGAGCAUGUGCUUAGCAUGCAUGAGGUCCUGGGUUCAAUCUCCAGUACUGCCA
rnacentral:tRNA from 1 species